rnacentral:rRNA from 1 species
AGAGUUUGAUCAUGGCUCAGGAUGAACGCUGGCGGCGUGCUUAACACAUGCAAGUCGAACGAACCUUCGGGUUAGUGGCGGACGGGUGAGUAACGCGUGGGAACCUGCCCUCAAGAGGGGGAUAACGGCUGGAAACGGCCGCUAAUACCCCAUAUGCCGAGAGGUGAAAUGAAAUUCGCCUGAGGAUGGGCCCGCGUCUGAUUAGCUAGUUGGUGGGGUAAGGGCCUACCAAGGCGACGAUCAGUAGCUGGUCUGAGAGGAUGAUCAGCCACACUGGGACUGAGACACGGCCCAGACUCCUACGGGAGGCAGCAGUGGGGAACUUUCCGCAAUGGGCGAAAGCCUGACGGAGCAACGCCGCGUGAGGGAUGAAGGCCUCUGGGCUGUAAACCUCUUUUCUCAAGGAAGAAGACCUGACGGUACUUGAGGAAUAAGCCACGGCUAAUUCCGUGCCAGCAGCCGCGGUAAUACGGGAGUGGCAAGCGUUAUCCGGAAUUAUUGGGCGUAAAGCGUCCGCAGGCGGCCUUGUAAGUCUGUCGUUAAAGCGUGGAGCUUAACUCCAUUUAAGCGAUGGAAACUACAAGGCUUGAGUGUGGUAGGGGCAGAGGGAAUUCCCGGUGUAGCGGUGAAAUGCGUAGAUAUCGGGAAGAACACCAGUGGCGAAAGGCGCUCUGCUGGGCCAUAACUGACGCUCAUGGACGAAAGCCAGGGGAGCGAAAGGGAUUAGAUACCCCUGUAGUCCUGGCCGUAAACGAUGAACACUAGGUGUCGGGGGAAUCGACCCCCUCGGUGUCGUAGCCAACGCGUUAAGUGUUCCGCCUGGGGAGUACGCACGCAAGUGUGAAACUCAAAGGAAUUGACGGGGGCCCGCACAAGCGGUGGAGUAUGUGGUUUAAUUCGAUGCAACGCGAAGAACCUUACCAGGGUUUGACAUCCUGCGAACCCCUGAGAAAUCGGGGGGUGCCUUCGGGAACGCAGAGGCAGGUGGUGCAUGGCUGUCGUCAGCUCGUGUCGUGAGAUGUUGGGUUAAGUCCCGCAACGAGCGCAACCCACGUCUUUAGUUGCCAGCAUUCAGUUGGGCACUCUAGAGAGACCGCCGGUGAUAAACCGGAGGAAGGUGUGGAUGACGUCAAGUCAUCAUGCCCCUUACAUCCUGGGCUACACACGUACUACAAUGCUACGGACAAAGGGCAGCAAGCUCGCGAGAGCAAGCAAAUCCCAUAAACCGUGGCUCAGUUCAGAUCGUAGGCUGCAACUCGCCUACGUGAAGGAGGAAUCGCUAGUAAUCGCAGGUCAGCAUACUGCGGUGAAUACGUUCCCGGGCCUUGUACACACCGCCCGUCACACCAUGGAAGUUGGCCACGCCCGAAGUCGUUACUCCAACCCUUGUGGAGGAGGACGCCGAAGGUGGGGCUGAUGACUGGGGUGAAGUCGUAACAAGGUAACC